AAACCAAUGGUUUAAAAACCGGAUCGGUGACCAGGAUCGGGCUUUUCAAAAACCGAUCCGGAUCGGCGAAUCGGCGAUCCGGAUCGGCGAAUCGGCGGUCCGGAUCGGAAUCGGGUGAAUCGGUCAGAAUAAAGCUUCAAAAAAAUCAAAAAAAAUUAUUAAAAUUCAUUAUAAAUAUUGUUUUUUAGGAAUUCAAUAAAAAAUGAGGGUACUCCAUUAAGAAUUUUCAUGUUUUUGGAUGAAUAUGCGAAUAUUGAUAUGUUCUUUCCCUGCAUGAACCGCCAUUCAACAUUUAAUUUACAUCAC
rnacentral:lncRNA from 1 species